CUAUGUUUCAGCGGCUGGUGAGGAUGGAAUUUUUUCAUUGCUAUCGUGAAAAUAUACUGCUUGACAAGAAGAGAACUGCAUAUAUAGAUGCAGCUUCUUCUCUAGCAACUGUUAAUUUAAUAGACUACUACUUAUGGUGAAACAAAAAACAAUCCCACUCUGAAGAAAGCACUGAAGACCUAUAACCAGCGGUGAAUUUCUUCCGUAUUGCUCAGUGGAAACAAAAGAAAGCUCAAAUGGGUGAAAUGAAGAACCAAGGAUCAUCUGAGCAAAGACUCAAGGACCAUUUGAACAAAGACAUCCACAUCUAUACCACAGAUGACUUGGCAUCUAUGGAGGAGUGGAGUUUGGCCACCAUCCCUGCUGAAGACCACAGUGAGUCCAAAGAACAUGGUUAACUGAAAUACACAGAUAAUCACAGAAAUUACUUUUAGGCAAUGAUGUCAACUUUGUCCCACUGAUGGAAGAAAAUAAAAAAGCUGAAAUUAGAAAAUCUAAGUUUUUUCUCAUAAAGGUGAACCCC
rnacentral:lncRNA from 1 species